GCCAGAGACCGAUAGCGCACAAGUAGAGUGAUCGAAAGAUGAAAAGCACUUUGAAAAGAGGGUUAAAUAGCACGUGAAAUUGUUGAAAGGGAAGCGCUUAUGACCCAGACCUUUUCCAGGCCGGAUCAUCCCGGUGUUUCUCACCGGUGCACUUCGCCUGGCUUAGGCCCAGCGUCGAUUUUCGCAGGGGGAAAAAGGCUUCGGGAAUGUGACUCCCUCCGGGGAGUGUUAUAGCCCGUUGCGUAAUACCCUUGUGGGGAUCGAGGUUCGCGCUCUGCAAGGACGCUGGCAUAAUGGUCAUCAGUGACCCGUCUUGAAACACGGACCAAGGAGUCGAACAUUUGUGCGAGUGUUUGGGUGAUAAACCCUCACGCGUAAUGAAAGUGAACGGAGGUGAGAGCCCUUACGGGUGCAUCAUCGACCGAUCCUGAUGUCUUCGGAUGGAUUUGAGUAGGAGCAUAACUGUUCGGACCCGAAAGAUGGUGAACUAUGCGUGGAUAGGGUGAAGCCAGAGGAAACUCUGGUGGAGGCUCGCAGCGGUUCUGACGUGCAAAUCGAUCGUCAAAUCUGCGCAUGGGGGCGAAAGACUAAUCGAACCAUUAAACCAGCGGUAAAAAUACUUUACUAGGUGGGUUAACAGGUGCCCUAGAGAGGGGGCGCCUAGGUUGGCCUACCCGGGAGUUACUCUAGAGCUGUUACCCUGUAGACAUUACCCUGUAGUGUCUACCCUGUAGCUACCCUAGAGCAGCUACCCUGGAGGUCUGACCGACACACGCUUAAAUUGCGGGAACGUCCUAAUUGCAAGGCUCCAGGCUACCGCCGAGCGCUGAAAAGCGCUGUGGCACCGAGGAUAGCGCCCUCGGGUACGGUAAUAACGCCUGAAGUACCGGACGACCUGCAGCCAACCCCGUUACAGGGGAA
rnacentral:rRNA from 1 species